rnacentral:rRNA from 1 species
GACGAACGCUGGCGGCGUGCUUAACACAUGCAAGUCGAACGGAAAGGCCCUGCUUUUUUGGGGUGCUCGAGUGGCGAACGGGUGUGUAACACGUGAGUAACCUGCCCUUGGCUUUGGGAUAACCUCAGGAAACUGGGGCUAAUACCGGAUAGGAGCUCCUGCUGCAGGGUGGGGUUUGGAAAUUUUAGGCGGUUGGGGAUGGACUGGCGGCUUAUGAGCUUGUUGGUUGGGUAGCGGCUUACGCAGGCUUUGGUGGGUAGCCGGCCUGGGAGGGUGAACGGGCACAUUGGGACUGAGAUACGGACCAGAGUGCUACGGGAGACAGCAGUGGAGAGUAUUACCCAAUGGGCGGAAGUGUGAUGAAGAGACGCCGCGUGCGGGAUGACGGCCUUCGGGGUGUAAAGCGCUGUAGGCUAAGACGAAGCGGGAGUGACGUUAAUGGGUGAAGAAGCACCGGCUAACUACGUG